GAUGAACGCUGGCGGCGUGCCUAAUACAUGCAAGUAGAACGCUGAAGGAGGAGCUUGCUCUUCUGGAUGAGUUGCGAACGGGUGAGUAACGCGUAGGUAACCUGCCUGGUAGCGGGGGAUAACUAUUGGAAACGAUAGCUAAUACCGCAUGACAACAGUUAUUGCAUGAUAACUGUUUAAAAGGGGCAACUGCUCCACUACCAGAUGGACAUGCGUUGUAUUAGCUAGGUGGUGAGGUAACGGCUCACCAAGGCGACGAUACAUAGCCGACCAGAGAGGGUGAUCGGCAACACUGGGACUGAGACACGGCCCACACUCCUGCGAGAGGCAGCAGUAGGGAAUCUUCGGCAAUGGACGGAAGGCUGACCGUGCAACGCCGCGUGAGUGAAUAAUGCUGUCGGAUCGUAAAGCUCUGUUGUGAGAGAAGAUCGUGUGUGAGAGUUGAAAGUGCACACAGUGACGGUAUCUGACCAGAAAGCGACGGCUAACUACGUG
rnacentral:rRNA from 1 species